UCAAAUCCCAUAUAAAAAUUUGAUAGGCCGUCCGAUAAAAUCGCAUGCGAAAAAGCCACCGCCCUAAGUCAUGUAUUUUUUUCUCGUAGCCAAGGUCUGUUGAAAUACCAGGUCACAUAUUAACCCCGUUUUCACAGCUGAGCUGAAGAAGAAUCAGCUAAGAAAAGUGACGUCUGGAUUACCGCGUGUAUGUACAAGGGUUGUGAUUGUAUGUGUGCGACGCUAGUUUCCAAUGUUUACGAUCUGAAUGAUGCGAAACAACAAGAAGGAAAUUAAGUUAACAUUUUCCGUAAAUUUAAGAUAAAAUCAUUGUUCAGUGAUUUGUGAUCACAUAAAUUAUUCAUCGCGCAAUAUCUGUACUAUUACAAUCUAAUGUUCGUGGCUCAUUUUAUCAUCUGGAAAGUGGUGCCUCCUAGACUAGACCGUAUAUAUCGAACCCAAUUCGAUGAAAUUGAAUAAACGCGCCAACAGUGAGUUUGGUCACCCGUCCUAAUUAUAUGUAGCCAUUUGAUUGUGGUUUCCGUGUCGGAUGGUGGCAUAUGAUUCUUGUACACAUGGCGGAAGCAAAAUCACUUGUUAUGAUUCUAUUAUUUGGCACUUCCAGAUUCCAUCCAUCCAGAUCCAGAAAAACAUUACAGAACCAACGUGAUUUAGUUUUUGAGCUAGCGUUGUAUACAAUUCCGGAAGUGAUGUUUUCGACGUAGGGGUCCGAACUACUCAAUCCUGAUAUGGGUUGUAUAAGCGAAUUACACUACUCUUACAAGCUGAACCAAACAUAUUUUAUAAACAUUA